GAUGAAUGCUGGCGGCGUGCCUAACACAUGCAAGUCGAGCGGUAACAGGUCUAGUUUACUAGAUGCUGACGAGCGGCGGACGGCUGAGUAACGCGUGGGAACAUACCCCAAAGUGAGGGAUAAGCAUCGGAAACGGUGUCUAAUACCGCAUAUGAUCUUCGGAUUAAAGGAUUUAUCCGCUUUGGGAGUGGCCUGCGUACGAUUAGAUAGUUGGUGAGGUAAAGGCUCACCAAGUCGACGAUCGUUAACUGUUCUGAGAGGAUGAUCAGUCAGACUGGAACUGAGACACGGUCCAGACUCCUACGGGAGGCAGCAGUGAGGAAUCUUCCACAAUGGGCGAAAGCCUGAUGGAGCAACGCCGCGUGCAGGAUGAAGGCCUUCGGGUUGUAAACUGCUUUUAUAAGUGAAGAAUAUGACGGUAACUUAUGAAUAAGCACCGGCUAACUACGUGCCAGCAGCCGCGGUCAUACGUAGGGUGCAAGCAUUAUCCGGAGUGACUGGGCGUAAAGAGUUGCGUAGGCGGUUAGUAAAGCGAAUAGUGAAAUCUGGUGGCUCAACCAUUCAGACUAUUAUUCGAACUCACUAACUCGAGAAUGGUAGAGGUAACUGGAAUUUCUUGUGUAGGAGUGAAAUCCGUAGAUAUAAGAAGGAACACCAAUGGCGUAGGCAGGUUACUGGACCAUUUCUGACGCUAAGGCACGAAAGCGUGGGGAGCGAACCGGAUUAGAUACCCGGGUAGUCCACGCCGUAAACUAUGGAUACUAGCUGUUGGAGGUAUCGACCCCUUCAGUAGCGAAGCUAACGCGUUAAGUAUCCCGCCUGUGGAGUACGGUCGCAAGACUAAAACAUAAAGGAAUUGACGGGGAUCAGCACAAGCGGUGGAUCGUGUUCUUUAAUUCGAUGCUAAACGAAGAACCUUACCAGGGUUUGACAUCCCAAGAAUUU
rnacentral:rRNA from 1 species